rnacentral:lncRNA from 1 species
AAGUGGAUAUAAGAGAAAAGAUGAGAUAACAACUGAACUAAUCAUAAUGAAUGUGUCAGUAUCUCCAAAUUGGGUUAUGGGAAUUAUCUGAAGUCAAAGGUCAUAUCUGCACUGGGCAGGGAUGCAUCCCCAACACAGCAGGAGUGAAAGGGAGAUAGAGCCAAAAGGUCCAGAUCAGCAUGGUCAUUAACUGAUUGAAACCUUGGGAAAGGCAAAACCUCUUGGGAAAGGCAAAAAUUCUUAGGUUUUC